rnacentral:rRNA from 1 species
AGUGAACGCUGGCGGUAGGCCUAACACAUGCCAGUCGAACGGCAGCACAGUAAGAGCUUGCUCUUACGGGUGGCGAGUGGCGGACGGGUGAGGAAUACAUCGGAAUCUACUUUUUCGUGGGGGAUAACGUAGGGAAACUUACGCUAAUACCGCAUACGACCUACGGGUGAAAGCAGGGGAUCUUCGGACCUUGCGCGAUUGAAUGAGCCGAUGUCGGAUUAGCUAGUUGGCGGGGUAAAGGCCCACCAAGGCGACGAUCCGUAGCUGGUCUGAGAGGAUGAUCAGCCACACUGGAACUGAGACACGGUCCAGACUCCUACGGAAGGCAGCAGUGGGGAAUAUUGGACAAUGGGCGCAAGCCUGAUCCAGCCAUACCGCGUGGGUGAAGAAGGCCUUCGGGUUGUAAAGCCCUUUUGUUGGGAAAGAAAAGCAGCAGGUUAAUACCCCGCUGUUCUGACGGUACCCAAAGAAUAAGCACCGGCUAACUUCGUG